rnacentral:rRNA from 1 species
GAAUCCCGUCUUUGGCAUGGAUGACCGGGGCUUUUGUGAUGCGCUCUCGAAGAGUCGAGUUGUUUGGGAAUGCAGCUCAAAAUGGGUGGUGAACUCCAUCUAAAGCUAAAUAUUGGCGAGAGACCGAUAGCGAACAAGUACCGUGAGGGAAAGAUGAAAAGCACUUUGGAAAGAGAGUGAAACAGUACGUGAAAUUGUUGAAAGGGAAACGCUUAAAGUCAGUCGCGUCGGCCGAGACUCAGCCUUGCCUCGGCUUGGUGUACUUCUUGACCGACGGGUCAGCAUCAAUUUUGCCCCUUGGAUAAUGGCGAGGGAAAUGUGACACCUUUAUAGGUGUGUUAUAGUCUCUCGUCGCAUGCAAGGGUCGGGAUUGAGGAACUCAGCACGCGCCUUCGGGCGUCGGGGCCUUGCCCACGAUACGUGCUUAGGAUGUUGGCGUAAUGGCUUUAAACGACCCGUCUUGAAACACGGACCAAGGAGUCUAACAUGCCCGCGAGUGUUCGGGUGGAAAACCCGUGCGCGCAAUGAAAGUGAAAGUUGGGACCUCUGUCGCGGAGGGCACCGACGCCCGGACCAGAGCUUCUGCGACGGAUCUGCGGUGGAGCGUGUAUGUUAGGACCCGAAAGAUGGUGAACUAUGCCUGAAUAGGGUGAAGCCAGAGGAAACUCUGGUGGAGGCUCGUAGCGAUUCUGACGUGCAAAUCGAUCGUCAAAUUUGGGUAUAGGGGCGAAAGACUAAUCGAACCAUCUAGUAGCUGGUUCCUGCC